rnacentral:rRNA from 1 species
UGUAGCCUACGGGAGGCAGCAGUCGAGAAUCAUUCACAAUGGGGGAAACCCCGAUGGUGCGACGCCGCGUGGGGGAAUGAAGGUCUUCGGAUUGUAAACCCCUGUCAUGUGGGAGCAAAUUAAAAAGAUAGUACCACAAGAGGAAGAGACGGCUAACUCUGUGCCAGCAGCCGCGGUAAUACAGAGGUCUCAAGCGUUGUUCGGAAUCACUGGGCGUAAAGCGUGCGUAGGCUGUUUCGUAAGUCGUGUGUGAAAGGCGCGGGCGCAACCCGCGGACGGUCCAUGAUACUG